CUGAUCUGCUCUAAACUCAUUUUGAUGUUCAAACUAUGCAGCUGUGCAACUUGUUUUGUCCUGUAUUCAACUCUCUUACCUGGUUUUCAUUUGUUGUUUUUUUUUUUAAUCUAUCAUUUUUUAUUCCCAUGAUGCUCUUGAGCAGCUCAAGGACUUUUUCUCAAGCUCAAGAAGUUACUGAGAGACUGAACUGCACAGGCCACCUCCUUCCAAUCCUGCCCUUCUGCUCCUGACUAAAUAAGUGUGUUGCUCAGCUGUGGGCCUUCUUCAUCAAGGGGUGUAACUGCUGAUGUGCACUGAAGGAGCUCUUCUUCUCUGUGUGUGAAAUCAUCUCUCUCCAAAAUAAACACCAUAUGGUCAGGGAGAAAGGGACCAGGAAAAGAGGAAGGCGCAGCAGCUGAAGCUGAUAGGAGACAAAAUGGACUGAAUGAGGGGCCAGGGGCUCAUACUGUUCCAGCAAGGAAAUCCUGAAGGCUUUCAGAGCAGUAGCAGCAGAACUGGUGAUACAUUCUGAAUAACAUGGACUAGAAGCUGCUCUUUCUUCGUGAGUUCUGUAUCUGGAUUUUGUCAAUAUUCACUUUCUGCACCCAUUUCAUGAUAACACCGUUGAUUUAUUCAUUAAAUCAUAAGUGUCAAAAGAACUGAAUUGUGCAUCAGAACUUCCCCAUUAGCUGAUGAAAGAGCCAUGUAAAAAAAAGAAUUCACCAGCCCCUGUGACUGAAUUUGAGCGAUAAUGUCAAUGGAAUUAACACAUUGCCAUUGUUGAAUGGUCUCCUGUGGCUAUAUAAAC